AGAAAACACUUAAAAUCCUCAGCUCUGGUUUGUACCAGUACUUUUAUUGGUAAGCUUGGCCUAACCAUUACAUAUGGACUGAUACCUUCAGCUUUCAUCAUUAAGGUCUGGAAAGCAAUUCUGAGAGUAUGAGACGGCUUCGAAGCAGCUCUGGACAUCCACAGGAGCAUUCACCACAGCUGUGUUUUCCUAAGGACUGGUAUCUUCAAGCCCAGGAAACUAUUGAAGGAACAGAGUGGAAUAAGCACUUGGGUAUCAUUGCAGAGCCCSGGUCUUCUCUACUCUUCAGCUGCCUGUCCUGUAACAUCAAAGCCUGAAUGUAGGCUGGGCUCAGCACCAAAGGACCUGGUGAAGCAACGCGACUGUAUAGCAAUAUCGAGCUCCUGCUGAACAUCUUACAGUGACUGCUUUUAUUUUCUUUAAAUGCUUUUCUUUAAAUGUCCCUUUCACAGCAACACUAGCUGCCUUUUGAUGCAGUUAUACUUAUCCUAUAUUUAAAAUACGGGAUAAGCUGGUCAGACACCUGCCAUGUGCGUGUCCCCAAGUGUGACAGCCUGCGAGG